CCUACGGGGUGCAGCAGUGAGGAAUAUUGGUCAAUGGGCGGGAGCCUGAACCAGCCAAGCCGCGUGAGGGAAGAAGGUACAGCGUAUCGUAAACCUCUUUUGUCAGGGAACAAAGGCGGGGACUAGUCCCCGGAUGAGGGUACCUGAAGAAAAAGCAUCGGCUAACUCCGUGCCAGCAGCCGCGGUAAUACGGAGGAUGCGAGCGUUAUCCGGAUUUAUUGGGUUUAAAGGGUGCGCAGGCGGCCUGUUAAGUCAGCGGUAAAAGCCCGGGGCUCAACCCCGGCGAGCCGUUGAAACUGGCGGGCUGGAGUACAGUAGAGGUGGGCGGAAUUCGUGGUGUAGCGGUGAAAUGCUUAGAUAUCACGAAGAACUCCGAUUGCGAAGGCAGUUCACUGGACUGCAACUGACACUGAGGCUCGAAAGUGUGGGUAUCAAACAGGAUUAGAUACCCUGGUAGUC
rnacentral:rRNA from 1 species